rnacentral:rRNA from 1 species
CAGUAGCCGCGGUAAAACGAAGGGUGCAAGCGUUAAUCGGAAUUACUGGGCGUAAAGCGUGCGUAGGUGGUGGUUUAAGUCCGUUGUGAAAGCCCUGGGCUCAACCUGGGAAUUGCAGUGGAUACUGGGUCACUAGAGUGUGGUAGAGGAUAGUGGAAUUUCCGGUGUAGCAGUGAAAUGCGUAGAGAUCGGAAGGAACAUCUGUGGCGAAGGCGACUAUCUGGGCCAACACUGACACUGAGGCACGAAAGCGUGGGGAGCAAACAGGAUUAGAUACCCCCGUAGUCCCUGUCUCUUAUAC